rnacentral:ncRNA from 1 species
CAAAGGUCGUGCGGCCAAGGUUCCUGCGGACUCUUCCCCGUGGGCUAAGAGGGAAUCCGGUCGGUUCGUCCGAUGCCGGAGCUGCCCCCGCAACUGUGAGCGGCGAGCUCCCGCCGCGAGAGGUCACUGGUGCCCCGCACCGGGAAGGCCGGGCGGGGGCGCUGACCCGUGAGCCAGGAGACCUGCCUCGGCACGACGAUAUUC